rnacentral:rRNA from 1 species
AACAGGGAUUGCCUUAGUAACGGCGAGUGAAGCGGCAAAAGCUCAAAUUUGAAAUCUGGCACCUUCGGUGUCCGAGUUGUAAUUUGAAGAAGGUAACUUUGGAGUUGGCUCUUGUCUAUGUUCCUUGGAACAGGACGUCACAGAGGGUGAGAAUCCCGUGCGAUGAGAUGCCCAAUUCUAUGUAAAGUGCUUUCGAAGAGUCGAGUUGUUUGGGAAUGCAGCUCUAAGUGGGUGGUAAAUUCCAUCUAAAGCUAAAUAUUGGCGAGAGACCGAUAGCGAACAAGUACAGUGAUGGAAAGAUGAAAAGAACUUUGAAAAGAGAGUGAAAAAGUACGUGAAAUUGUGUGAAAGGGAAGGGCUUGAGAUCAGACUUGGUAUUUUGCGAUCCUUUCCUUCUUGGUUGGGUUCCUCGCAGCUUACUGGGCCAGCAUCGGUUUGGAUGGUAGGAUAAUGACUAAGGAAUGUGGCUCUACUUCGGUGGAGUGU